rnacentral:RNase_P_RNA from 1 species
UCAGACGGCCGGGCGGUCGCGGCGCAGCUUGCUGCGUCGAGGAAAGUCCGGGCUCCACGGUGAAAAGGCGGCGGAUAACUUCCGCCCGGGGCGACCCGAGGGAUAGCGCCACAGAAAGCAAACCUCCGGCCUUUCGAGGCCGGGAAGGGUGAAAGGGUGGGGUAAGAGCCCACCGCGGACCCGGCGACGGGGACGGCAUGGCAAGCCCCGCCUGGAGCAAGACCGAAUAGGGGCGUCGCGCGGGUUUCGGCCCGCAGGGCUCACCGCCCGAGACGCCCGGGUUGGUCGCGAGAACCGGUCAGCAAUGGCCGGUCCAGAGGAAUGAUCGUCGCCGUCCUUCGGGGCGGAACAGAACCCGGCUUACAGGCCGUCUGACCCC